GCUAGAUAAAGUGACGUUUUAGUCAACUAAAAUAACUCUAUUUCCUAACUAGAACAUUUCCCUCAUGAAGCAAGUCCUAUUAUUACCUACUAUCAAAUCAUGAGCCAAAACAACAAAUUCGAGAUAGGACUAAUGUUCUAAAAAAAUCACCUUGAAAUUGAUCUCACUUUGAAGUCACACAUUUUACGGAUAUUUGUUUCCUAAAAAUAUUUGGACAUUUUGAAACGAUCGGCUUAAUUUUAAUGUCAACAAUCAUAGAACUAUUUUUGAAAUUGUAUAGUUUUCACAGUUUUCAAAAAUGCACAAAAAGAGUGCUCCGGUGAUUACUUAUACAAUAUUUGUUAUUCAUAAAGGACCUACAAGCCAUAAUACUCUGAGGAAAGAGGUAGCUUCUACUUUCAGUUGAAUCAAACUGACCAAAUGUUGCUGGAGACCUGGAGAAGCGUCUAAUUGGACGGAUAGAUACUGUUUUCAACAUAACCUGAUUGGUACAUUAAAAAACAGAUCGGCAAUUGGCUCCCCUCUACUACGAAACACAGGCUGUAAGAAGAAGUUUAAAAGUUCUUGGAAGUUAAAAAUAAUAUAUUGUGAGCUGUAUUUUUUUUAAUUUUCUUUAAAUAUU